UCAGGGAUGAGCUCGCGGCCUAUCACCUUGUUGGUGAGGUAACGGCUCACCAAGGCGUCCACGGGUAGCCGGCCUGAGAGGGUGACCGGCCACACUGGGACUGAGACACGGCCCAGACUCCUACGGGAGGCAGCAGUGGGGAAUAUUGCACAAUGGGCGAAAGCCUGAUGCAGCAACGCCGCGUGAGGGACGACGGCCUUCGGGUUGUAAACCUCUUUUAGCAGGAAAGAAGCGAAAGUGACGGUACCUGCAGAAAAAGCGCCGGCUAACUACGUGCCAGCAGCCGCGGUAAUACGUAGGGCGCAAGCGUUAUCCGGAAUUAUUGGGCGUAAAGAGCUCGUAGGCGGUCUGUCGCGUCUGCUGUGAAAACCCGAGGCUCAACCUCGGGCCUGCAGUGGGUACGGGCAGACUAGAGUGCGGUAGGGGAGAUUGGAAUUCCUGGUGUAGCGGUGGAAUGCGCAGAUAUCAGGAGGAACACCGAUGGCGAAGGCAGAUCUCUGGGCCGUAACUGACGCUGAGGAGCGAAAGGGUGGGGAGCAAACAGGC
rnacentral:rRNA from 1 species